rnacentral:rRNA from 1 species
UACGGGGGGGGCAAGCGUUGUUCGGAAUUACUGGGCGUAAAGGGCUCGUAGGCGGCCAACUAAGUCAGACGUGAAAUCCCUCGGCUUAACCGGGGAACUGCGUCUGAUACUGGAUGGCUUGAGUUCGGGAGAGGGAUGCGGAAUUCCAGGUGUAGCGGUGAAAUGCGUAGAGAUCUGGAAGAACACCAAAGGCGAAGGCAGCGUCCUGGCAAGUCACUGACGCUCAGGUGCGAAAGCUAGGGGAGCGAACGGG